rnacentral:rRNA from 1 species
UGGGGAAUAUUGCACAAUGGGCGCAAGCCUGAUGCAGCCAUGCCGCGUGUAUGAAGAAGGCCUUCGGGUUGUAAAGUACUUUCAGCGGGGAGAAAGGGAGUAAAGUUAAUACCUUUGCUCAUUGACGUUACCCGCAGAAGAAGCACCGGCUAACUCCGUGCCAGCAGCCGCGGUAAUACGGAGGGUGCAAGCGUUAAUCGGAAUUACUGGGCGUAAAGCGCACGCAGGCGGUUUGUUAAGUCAGAUGUGAAAUCCCCGGGCUCAACCUGGGAACUGCAUCUGAUACUGGCAAGCUUGAGUCUCGUAGAGGGGGGUAGAAUUCCAGGUGUAGCGGUGAAAUGCGUAGAGAUCUGGAGGAAUACCGGUGGCGAAGGCGGCCCCCUGGACGAAGACUGACGCUCAGGUGCGAAAGCGUGGGGAGCAAACAGG